UCCCAGCCCAGGGAUUGAACCUGGAUCUCCCACAUUGCAGGCGGAUUCUUUACCAGCUGAGUCACAAGGGACGCUUAAGAGUGCAUUAAAAGGCCACCCUGGAGAAAUUUUCACAACUCAUUGGAGAAAAGUGGGAUAUAAAACUAUUUGUGUGAUCCCCAUAUUAUUUAGAAGACAGGAAGAAAAAGCAGAUCGGGGAGCUCUGAUAAUUAGCAUCUGAGUCCUGUACUGCCAACCCUGCUGAACUUUCUGAGGAAAAGAAACACGAGAGAGAAGCAGGAUCCUUAAGUCAGCAACUGAAUACCUACAAGCAACUCUGUCAUCUGAUAAAGGCUUGCUGACUCAUUGACAAUCCUGCAGAUAACUUGGAGCCUUUAUAACAUGCCCUGCUAAAAGCUUUGCUCAAACCAGAACAGAUAAUGACACUGCCGAGCAGCCCCCAGGCCGCCUG